rnacentral:tRNA from 3 species
GGGCGCGUAGCUCAGCGGGAGAGCGCCUGCCUUACAAGCAGGAGGUCGCAGGUUCAAAACCUGCCGCUCCCACCA